CUGAGAGAGAGAGAGAGAGAGAGAGAGAGAGAUAGAGAGCGUUUUAAACUAUUCAACCAUGUCGAUGUGCUAGAGACAUGUGUGUCGUUUUAAGAGUUUCUGUUGCUUAGAAAUUAACAUAAAACUUACACAGGUUUAUUUUUGAAGUCUUCCUUUAAGUCUACCGGAUAUUUCCUUUAUAUAAGCAUUGCAUGCAGGGAAACCUAUAACUGCUCUUGAAGCGUUUCCUGAAGCACACUAUGUGGAAGUAUUUCCCCGUUCUUGCAGGCGUCUGUUUGUACUGGAUACUGACCAUUGUCCAGUUGACGCGAGGAGAUCGGAGGAUGACUCUCAGCUGUGAAGUGGUGUACAAACUGUGUGAGGAUGGUGUCUACACAGCCACUGAGUGUGACAGUUUGUUAAGCAGGUGUUUACAUUAACACCUGAGCUCUUGCCCCGGAAGUAAACAUCUGAUCGAGCACAGAACAUGGAGUUGAUGUGCAUUUUAUUUUUUUUUCUAUAAAUCUAUCCACUUUAUAAAUGUGGUUUUGUUAUUUAUUCUUUUUGUUUUGAGAUUCAAAGGGAAAAAAAUGGUGAUGGUCAGAAAACAUAUUUUAACAAAUAGAGUCUAUGUCUCAGUCCAUGUUUCGAUUCUUGUGUUAGUCUAAUACACACUCAAUGUGACA